GAUGAACGCUGGCGGCGUGCCUAAUACAUGCAAGUCGAGCGAACAGACGAGGAGCUUGCUCCUCUGACGUUAGCGGCGGACGGGUGAGUAACACGUGGAUAACCUACCUAUAAGACUGGGAUAACUUCGGGAAACCGGAGCUAAUACCGGAUAAUAUAUUGAACCGCAUGGUUCAAUAGUGAAAGACGGUUUUGCUGUCACUUAUAGAUGGAUCCGCGCCGCAUUAGCUAGUUGGUACGGUAACGGCUUACCAAGGCAACGAUGCGUAGCCGACCUGAGAGGGUGAUCCGCCACACUGGAGCUGAGACGCGGUCCAGGCUCCUACGGGAGGCAGCAGUAGGGAAUCUUCCGCACUGGGCGAAAGCCUGACGGAGCAACGCCGCGUGGGUGAUGAAGGUCUUCGGAUCGUAAAACUCUGUUAUUAGGGAAGAACAAAUGUGUAAGUAACUAUGCACGUCUUGACGGUACCGAUUCAGAAAGCCCCGGCUAACUACGU
rnacentral:rRNA from 1 species